CACAGCCUUCAAUCCCAUUUUAUCAAUCUCAUUUCCUUUUGCUACGUCCAGGCACAACAGGGAGAAAGAGAGAUGAGUGAGAGAGACGAGAACGAGAGAACAGAGCGACCGUGAUGGAAGAACCAGCGCAAAACGCCGUCGAGGAAGCGGUAACUUUUCUUUCGAUGUCACCAAACGCCGCUGACUGAACCAGACGUCUGAGAUGACGGCGGCGAGUUCUAGAGUCCUGAUCUGUCAAGUGGUCGCCGGUUGUAGCUUCUCCAUGGUGUUUGGCUUGUUAACGGGGAUAAUCCGGUGGAUCUGGCGACUGAGUUGGGUUCUGGUGUUUUUCAGUGCUCAAAUCCGGUGGACCUUCUCCAUGGUCGCCGGUUGUAGCUUCUCCAUGGUGUUUGGCUGGUUAACGGGGAUAAUCCGGUGGAUCUUGCAAGUCAAUGAUGGGUGCGACUAAAUCAAAGAUACCUUGGUGCAAGAGAGUUUCUCUGCAGGAACAAAGCAUGUGAUUUACGAACCGCUUGAUGAAGGUCAAAUGGGAUGGGUUACAAUGUUACAUUGACUCAAUAAAAAAACUAGCAAAUGAGAAUCCCUUUUGGGAAUCCAGCACUUUUGACACCAUAUCGAAGGCUGUGUACCUUCUUUUUGGGAUAGAGUGUCUUCUUAUUGCAUUUAAUUUAGGCAUUUAAUUUUGUUAUAGUGGAAUAUACAUACAACUUAAUCGAAUUGAUUUCUUUCAAACAAUUGUUUUCGAUCGAUAUAAAUAUCAUGUGUUGAUA